CCUACGGGAGGCAGCAGUGGGGAAUAUUGCACAAUGGGGGACACCCUGAUGCAGCGACGCCGCGUGAGUGAAGAAGUAAUUCGUUAUGUAAAGCUCUAUCAGCAGGGAAGAAAAUGUCAGUACCCGAAAAGCAAGCUCUGGCUAACUAAGUGCCAGCAGCUGCGGUAAUACGUAGGGAGCAAGCGUUGCCCGGAUUUAAUGGGUGUAAAGGGUGCGUAGGCGGGAACACAAGCCAGGCGUGAAAUACCGGGGCUCAACUCCGGGCCUGCGCUUGAAACUGUGUGUCUUGAGUGAAGUAGAGGCAGGCGGAAUUCCUAGUGUAGCGGUGGAAUGCGUAGAUAUUAGGAGGAACACCAGUGGCGAAGGCGGCCUGCUGGGCUUUAACUGACGCUGAUGCACGAAAGCAUGGGGAGCAAACAGGAUUAGAUACCCGUGUAGUC
rnacentral:rRNA from 1 species